rnacentral:rRNA from 1 species
GACGAACGCUGGCGGCGUGCUUAACACAUGCAAGUCGAACGGAAAGGCCCUGCUUUUGUGGGGUGCUCGAGUGGCGAACGGGUGAGUAGCACGUGAGUAACCUGCCCUUGACUUUGGGAUAACUUCAGGAAACUGGGGCUAAUACCGGAUAGGAGCUCCUGCUGCAUGGUGGGGGUUGGAAAGUUUCGGCGGUUGGGGAUGGACUCGCGGCUUAUCAGCUUGUUGGUGGGGUAGUGACUUACCAAGGCUUUGACGGGUAGCCGGCCUGAGAGGGUGACCGGCCACAUUGGGACUGAGAUACGGCCCAGACUCCUACGGGAGGCAGCAGUGGGGAAUAUUGCACAAUGGGCGGAAGCCUGAUGCAGCAACGCCGCGUGCGGGAUGACGGCCUUCGGGUUGUAAACCGCUUUCGCCUGUGACGAAGCGUGAGUGACGGUAAUGGGUAAAGAAGCACCGGCUAACUACGUG